rnacentral:rRNA from 1 species
UGCCAGCAGCCGCGGUAAUACGGAGGGUGCGAGCGUUAAUCGGAAUUACUGGGCGUAAAGCGCACGUAGGCGGUUAAGUAAGUGAGAGGUGAAAUCCCCGAGCUCAACUUGGGAACUGCUUUUCAAACUACAUAACUAGAAUGUGUCAGAGGUGAGUGGAAUUUCCUGUGUAGCAGUGAAAUGCGUAGAUACAGGAAGGAACAUCAGUGGCGAAGGCGAAUCACUGGGAUAACAUUGACGCUAAGGUGCGAAAGCGUGGGUAGCGAACAGGAUUAGAUA